rnacentral:rRNA from 1 species
UACGGGGGGGGCAAGCGUUGUCCGGAUUUAUUGGGCGUAAAGCGUGCGUAGGCGGCUGCGCAAGUCGGGUGUGAAACCCCGGGGCUCAACCCCGGAACUGCAUCCGAUACUGCGUGGCUAGAGGUAGGUAGGGGAGAUCGGAAUUCCUGGUGUAGCGGUGAAAUGCGCAGAUAUCAGGAGGAACACCGGUGGCGAAGGCGGAUCUCUGGGCCGAUACUGACGCUGAGGAGCGAAAGCGUGGGGAGCGAACAGG